rnacentral:lncRNA from 1 species
AUUUUUUCUUUCUAUUUGAAUUUGAUUCAAACUAAAAAGGGGAUAAUGUUUAAAAAGAAAGGGUGUUGGACCAAAUUUUUGUGUGAAAAAAAUCAAGAAAGAAAGGUGGGCGUGCGCUAAUAAUGAUGGGAAGUUUUUUCUUACCACACAACUUCUUCUUAAUGCCACCCUUCCUUCUUCCCUCAUCUCCACGCUCAAAAAUCAAAAGAGAUUAGAUCUAAGGGAAAAAAAUAGAG